rnacentral:rRNA from 1 species
CCCAGUUAAGCGCGAGCUUAACUACCUAAUAUGGAGCGAACGAGGGGAAUUGAAACAUCUUAGUACCCUCAGGAAAAGAAAUCAAAAGAGAUUACGCUAGUAGCGGCGAGCGAACGCGUAAGAGGGCAAACCACUAGUUUACUAGUGGGGUUGUAGGACCGUAACAUAGACUAGGAUCUGAUAAUAGAACAAUCUGGAAAGGUUAGGCAUAGAGGGUGAUACUCCCGUAUAUGAAAUCACAUCCUUACUUAGCGGUAUCCUGAGUAGGACGGGACACGUGAAAUCCUGUCUGAAGCCGGGUCGACCACGAUCCAACCCUAAAUACUACUACUAGACCGAUAGCGUACAAGUACCGUGAGGGAAAGGUGAAAAGAACGGCGGUGAGCCGAGUGAAAUAGAACCUGAAACCGUUUGCUUACAAUCAUUCAGAGCACUAUGCUAUACUCUUUAAAAUUAAUCCAGCUUGGCUUUUUAGCCCUUUUUUAUGAAACUGCGACUGCGGCAGCCGAAUCCGGCUAGCCUUGUCUUGUUUCAUAAAAAAUCAUCUAAAAAUCCUGCGCAUUUGAAAUUCUAAAUUUUGAUCUAAUAAAAUUUCAUCAUAAACGAUACAAGUAGAAUUUUAUAGUCUAAAUUUAGAGAUAACGAUUAACGAUUAGUUUUAAUGAGUAUAGCAGUGUGAUGGACUGCCUUUUGCAUAAUGAGCCUGCGAGUUGUGGUGUCUGGCGAGGUUAAGGAAACCCGGAGCCGUAGCGAAAGCGAGUCUUAAUAGGGCGAUUAGUCAGAUGCUGCAGACCCGAAACGAUGUGAUCUAUCCAUGAGCAGGUUGAAGCCGGUGUAAGAGCCGGUGGAGGACCCAACCGACGGCCGUUGAAAAGGCUCCGGAUGACUUGUGGAUAGGGGUGAAAGGCCAAUCAAACAUCGUGAUAGCUGGUUCUCUCCGAAAUAUAUUGAGGUAUAGCGUCGUGUAGUAGUUAUAAGGGGUAGAGCACUGAAUGGGCUAGGGCAUACACCAAUGUACCAAACCCUAUCAAACUCCGAAUACUUAUAGCGUAACCACGGCAGUCAGGCGGCGAGUGAUAAAAUCCGUCGUCAAGAGGGAAACAACCCGGACUAACAGCUAAGGUCCCCAAAUCUCAUUUAAGUGGAAAACGAUGUGAAGUUACUGAAACAACCAGGAGGUUGGCUUAGAAGCAGCCAUCCUUUAAAGAAAGCGUAAUAGCUCACUGGUCUAGUGAUUUUGCGCGGAAAAUAUAACGGGGCUAAAAUGAGUACCGAAGCUUUAGACUUGCACUUAAUCAUUUAUACUUGGCUUGGCUUUUGAGUGUCUUUAAAUGAGCUCGUAAAAAUAAAUGCUCACGAACUAUAUGUUCGCUCCGCUUUAUUUUUACAUCGCAACAUUUAAAUCCAUCUCAAAACAAGCGAAGCGCUUUUUGCGGAAGCAAAAAUGUUUCUUUGAAAAAUCCUGCGCCAUCUUGAGUUCAAAUUUGAACUAAAUAUCUUGAUCUAAAUUUUAUAAAUCUCAAAAUUUCUUAGAAUUUUAAAAUUUAGCAACAAAAAGCAAAAAGACAAGCCUAAGAAAAGUAUAAAUCAUUAAGUGCAAGUGGUAGGAGAGCGUUCCAAUCAGCGUCGAAGCCGUACCGGUAAGGAGCGGUGGAGCGGUUGGAAGUGAGCAUGCAGGCAUGAGUAGCGAUAAAAUACGUGAGAAUCGUAUUCGCCGUAAACCCAAGGUUUCCUACGCGAUGCUCGUCAUCGUAGGGUUAGUCGGGUCCUAAGCAAAGUCCGAAAGGGGUAUGCGAUGGAAAAUCGGUUAAUAUUCCGAUACCGAUAUCAGUGUGCGACGGAAGGACGCUUAAAGUUAGUGGAGCUAGCGGAUGGAAGUGCUAGUCUAAGGAAGUAGGUUGAGUUAUAGGCAAAUCCGUAACUCUUUAUCCGAGAUCUGAAAGGCUUCUGACGCUCUUCGGAGUAGAUGAAGAAUCCAUGAUACUAUCGAGCCGAGAAAAGUUUCUAAGUUUAGCUGAUAUCGCCCGUACCGUAAACCGACACAGGUGGGUGGGAUGAGUAUUCUAAGGCGCGUGGAAGAACUCUCUUUAAGGAACUCUGCAAAAUAGCACCGUAUCUUCGGUAUAAGGUGUGCCUAGCUUCGUUAAGAAUUUACUUCGUAAGCGAAGAAGGUUACAACAAAGAGUCCCUCCCGACUGUUUACCAUAAACACAGCACUCUGCUAACUCGUAAGAGGAUGUAUAGGGUGUGACGCCUGCCCGGUGCUCGAAGGUUAAUUGAUGAUGUUAGCUUAUGCAAAGCAUCUGAUCGAAGCCCGAGUAAACGGCGGCCGUAACUAUAACGGUCCUAAGGUAGCGAAAUUCCUUGUCGGUUAAAUACCGACCUGCAUGAAUGGCGUAACGAGAUGGGAGCUGUCUCAAAGAGGGAUCCAGUGAAAUUGUAGUGGAGGUGAAAAUUCCUCCUACCCGCGGCAAGACGGAAAGACCCCGUGGACCUUUACUACAGCUUGACACUGCUAUUGGGAUAAAAAUGUGCA